CUACGGGCCGCUCCAGUGAGGAAUAUUGCACAAUGGGGGGAACCCUGAUGCAGCAACGCCGCGUGGAGGAUGACGCAUUUCGGUGUGUAAACUCCUUUUAUAUGUCAAGAAAAUGACGGUAGCAUAUGAAUAAGCACCGGCUAACUCCGUGCCAGCAGCCGCGGUAAUACGGAGGGUGCAAGCGUGUACUCGGAAUCACUGGGCGUAAAGGAAGCGUAGGCGGGUUGGAAAGUCAGGUGUGAAAUCCUACAGCUUAACUGUAGAACUGCACUUGAAACUUCUAAUUUAGAGUAUGGGAGGGGGAGAUGGAAUUAGUGGUGUAGGGGUAAAAUCCGUAGAUAUCACUAGGAAUACCUAAAGCGAAGGCGAUCUCCUGGAACAUUACUGACGCUAAGGCGUGAAAGCGUGGGGAGCAAACAGGAUUAGAUACCCGUGUAGUC
rnacentral:rRNA from 1 species